GCUGGGCAUGGUGGUGUGUGCCUAUAGUCCCAGCUACUUGGGAGGCUGAGGCAGGAGAAUCACUUGAACCCGGGAGGUGGAGGUUGCAGUGAGCCAAGAUCCUGCCACUGCACUUCAGCCUGGGUGACAGAGUGAGACUCUGUCUCAA
ensembl:misc_RNA Metazoa_SRP Metazoan signal recognition particle RNA